UACGUAAGUGGUGAGCGUUAUCCGGAAUUACUGGGCGUAAAGCGUUCGUAGGCGGUGCAGUAAGUUGGGUUUGAAAGCCCGGGGCUCAACUCCGGACCCGGAUCCAAAACUACUGCGCUGGAGCGUAUCAGGGGGCAGCGGAAUUCUCGGUGUAGCGGUAAUAUGCGUAGAUAUCGGGAGGAACACCAGUGGCGAAGGCGGCUGCCUGGGGUAUUGCUGACGCUGAGGAACGAAGGCCAGGGGAGCGAACGGG
rnacentral:rRNA from 1 species